GUGCUGAUGUUCUUUAACUGCCAUAAGAAUUUGAAAAAACAAGACGUUUCCCGACAAUUUUCUCAUUGGUUCAUUUUAAAGAACUCUGAUUGGUGCCUUUGGAUACACAUAUGACACACUUCCUAUUCCUCUUCAAUUUCUUUAACUUGUCAGAUGCGAUAACUGUAACAUCAUACCUUUAGAAGACAGAUUUUGCGCAUAAAAUGACGAACUACUAAAGAUGAAAAAAG